rnacentral:tRNA from 1 species
AGGCCCGUAGCUCUAAUUGGUAGAGCGCCGGUCUCCAAAACCGGAGGAUGUGGGUUCGAAUCCCGCCGGGCCUGCCA